UAAAUAAUGAUCCAGUCCAUUUUUUUAUAAAGGGAGAUUUUCUUAGCGUACCACCUACGAGCGUUCUAUGUGCCACAAGUGGUACGCGUACCACAGGUUGAGAAACUCUGUAGUAAAUCAUAUUAUAUUAAAAAUAGUACUGUGGGAUUAUGGAGUCCCCCACAAGCUUGUAUACUAAAAAUGUUCAAUGCAUAUUGUAUAUAAUGUUAUGCUAUGCUAUGCUAUGUUAAAAUGCACAGUAUGUGACUAUUCUGUUCAAUAUAAUAUAAAUGAAUAACAUUUUUUUACUUUAAAAAUGCUGCUUUUGAGUUCAUAGAACAUGAAAUUGACACGUUUAACAAAUCGAGUAUCUUCAGAUGAUUCAAGUCAUAGUGAUGAAGACUGAAUUUCAACUAAUAAACCUGCAUUAAAUUUAUUACUUAUUAUUGGUGAAAAAACUACUAAAAUAUUUUGCUUCUUGUGUAAUAUAUUAUCAGUCAAUUAAUAUAAUUAAUACAUUGUAAGAAUACAAAUUAGUUCUAAAUAUGUGUCAAAUAUUUAAUAUUUAAUUAAUAAUUUUUUUUUUGUAUAUAUUAUGUUUAUAGAAAAUACCUUUUCUAUGAUCUUACCAUAAAAUCAAAACACAUUCACUAAAUCUAUAUUUAAUAUUUUAUUUUAUAACUUAUAUUUUAUACUUGUUUUGUAUUCUUUAAACACAUAAGACAUUUUAAUUUUCCAUUUUUUAUUGUCUUAUUAUGUAUUAAUACAUUUAGUAUUUGUGAAUUUUCUUUUAUAUAGCGAUAAUCAUGUGCAAAACGAUAAUAGUAGCUAAAUUAGUAUAUAAAAUAAUAAAUGUUACUCUAAUAGAACUACUAUAUUUCAUAGUACAAAGUUAGGUUUAAUUAGUAUACAAUUUUGUACUCAAUUAACUUAACUAAAAUAUAAAUAAUUGUUUUAUAAAAAAAAAA